rnacentral:rRNA from 1 species
CACCUGGAAACAGAUGCUAAUACCGGAUAACAACACUAGACGCAUGUCUAGAGUUUAAAAGAUGGUUCUGCUAUCACUCUUGGAUGGACCUGCGGUGCAUUAGCUAGUUGGUAAGGUAACGGCUUACCAAGGCAAUGAUGCAUAGCCGAGUUGAGAGACUGAUCGGCCACAUUGGGACUGAGACACGGUCCAAACUCCUACGGGAGGCAGCAGUA